rfam:Oryza sativa (indica cultivar-group) chromosome 3, whole genome shotgun sequence.
GAUAUCAACUGAAAAAGUCAUCAACAACAAAGUUGAAUAACUCAUCAAGAUUUAAAACUUUUAUUUUGGUCAUUUCUUCAUACGACCAAGUGAUAGUAACAUUAUUCACCACAUUGACAUAUCUCUUAUCUGGUUUUAUAAACUAUAACACAUAUAUGUAAAAUUUGUGAAUAAUAUUACUAACAUUUCGUCAGAUGAAGAAAUAAAAAAAAUAAAAGUUUUAGAUCUUGAUGAGUUAUUCAACUUUGUUGUUGAUGACUUUUUCAAUUGAAAUC